rnacentral:rRNA from 1 species
CCUACGGGAGGCAGCAGUGGGGAAUAUUGCACAAUGGGGGAAACUCUGAUGCAGCGACGCCGCGUGAAGGAAGAAGUGUUUCGGUAUGUAAACUUCUAUCAGCAGGGAAGAAAAUGACGGUACCUGACUAAUAAGCCCCGGCUAACUACGUUCCAGCAGCCGCGGUACUACGUAGGGGGCAAGCGUUAUCCGGAUUUACUGGGUGUAAAGGGAGCGUAGGCGGUGCAGCAAGUCAGAAGUGAAAGCCCGGGGCUCAACUCCGGGACUGCUUUUGAAACUGUUGAACUAGAUUGCAGGAGAGGUGAGUGGAAUUCCUAGUGUAGCGGUGAAAUGCGUAGAUAUUAGGAGGAACACCAGUGGCGAAGGCGGCUUACUGGACUGUAAAUGACGCUGAGGCUCGAAAGCGUGGGGAGCAAACAGGAUUAGAUACCCCAGUAGUC